UAGGUCCAGGCUAAGUGUAGUCUAU
rnacentral:misc_RNA from 1 species